rnacentral:rRNA from 1 species
GACGAACGCUGGCGGCGUGCUUAACACAUGCAAGUCGAGCGAUCAGACGACUAGCUUGCUCCUCGGACGUUAACGGGGGAAGGGUGAGUAACACGAGGUUAACCUACCUCUAAGACUGGGAUAAGUUCCGGAAACCAGAGCUAAUACUGGAUAAUAUAUUGAACCGCAUGGUUGAAUAGUGAAAGACGGUUUUGAUGUCCCUUAUAGCUGGAUCCGCGCCGCAUUAGCGAGUUGGUAAGGUAACGGCUUACCAAGGCCACGAUGCGUAGCCGACCUGAGAGGACGAUCGGCCGCACGGGAGCGGAGGCGCGGUCCAGACGUCUACGGGAGGCAGCAGUAGGGAACCUUCCGGAGUGAGCGGAAGCCUGACGGAGCAACGCCGCGUGAGUGAGGAAGGUCUUCGGAGCGUAGAACACGGUUAUUAGGGGAGAACAAAUGUGUAAGGAACUAUGCGCGUCUUGACGGUACCUGAUCAGAAAGCCCCGGCUAACUACGUG